AUUGAACGCUAGCGGAAUGCUUUACACAUGCAAGUCGAACGGCAGCACGGGGCAACCUGGUGGCGAGUGGCGAACGGGUGAGUAAUACAUCGGAACGUGCCCAAUCGUGGGGGAUAACGUAGCGAAAGUUACGCUAAUGCCGCAUACGAUCUACGGAUGAAAGCGGGGGAUCGCAAGACCUCGCGCGAAUGGAGCGGCCGAUGGCAGACUAGGUAGUUGGUGGGGUAAAGGCUCAUCAAGCCAACGAUCUGUAGCUGGUCUGAGAGGACGACCAGCCACACUGGGACUGUGACACGGCCCAGACUCCUACGGGAGGCAGCAGUGGGGAAUUUUGGACAAUGGGCGCAAGCCUGAUCCAGCCAUUCCGCGUGCAGGAUGAAGGCCUUCGGGUUGUAAACUGCUUUUGUACGGAACGAAACGGUUCUCUCUAAUACAGGGGGCUAAUGACGGUACCGUAAGAAUAAGCACCGGCUAACUACGUGCCAGCCGCCGCCGUAAAAC
rnacentral:rRNA from 1 species